rnacentral:rRNA from 1 species
AUUGAACGCUGGCGGCAUGCUUUACACAUGCAAGUCGAACGGUAACAGGUUAAGCUGACGAGUGGCGAACGGGUGAGUAAUGCAUCGGAACGUGCCCGGUCGUGGGGGAUAACGCAGCGAAAGCUGCGCUAAUACCGCAUACGAUCUAAGGAUGAAAGCGGGGGACCGUAAGGCCUCGCGCGAUCGGAGCGGCCGAUGUCAGAUUGGGUAGUUGGUGGGGUAAAGGCUCACCAAGCCAACGAUCUGUAGCUGGUAUGAGAGGACGACCAGCCACACUGGGACUGAGACACGGCCCAGACUCCUACGGGAGGCAGCAGUGGGGAAUUUUGGACAAUGGGCGAAAGCCUGAUCCAGCAAUGCCGCGUGCAGGAAGAAGGCCUUCGGGUUGUAAACUGCUUUUGUACGGAGCGAAAAGGUCUCCUCUAAUACAGGGGGCUCAUGACGGUACCGUAAGAAUAAGCACCGGCUAACUACGUGCCAGCCGCCGCAGUAA